GCAGAAAGUCAAUGAAGCUGCUUGCGACAUCGCCCGACAAGUGGCUGAUGAAGGAGAUGCUUUGGUAGCAGGAGGAGUGAGUCAGACACCUUCAUAUCUUAGCUGCAAGAGUGAAACUGAAGUCAAAAAAGUAUUUUUGCAACAGUUAGAGGUCUUUAUGAAGAAGAAUGUGGACUUCUUGAUUGCAGAGUAUUUUGAACACGUUGAAGAAGCUGUGUGGGCAGUUGAAACCUUGAUAGCAUCCGGUAAACCUGUGGCAGCAACCAUGUGCAUUGGCCCGGAAGGAGAUUUGCAUGGCGUGCCCCCCGGCGAGUGUGCAGUGCGCCUGGUGAAAGCAGGAGCAUCCAUCAUUGGUGUGAACUGCCACUUUGACCCCACCAUUAGCUUAAAAACAGUGAAGCUCAUGAAGGAGGGCUUGGAGGCUGCCCGACUGAAAGCUCACCUGAUGAGCCAGCCCUUGGCUUACCACACUCCUGACUGCAACAAGCAGGGGUUCAUUGAUCUCCCAGAAUUCCCGUUUGGUAAGACCAAUAUUUGAUGAAUCAUCUCAAUAUCUUCAUUUGAUAUUCAUAUAAACUCAAGUAAAUCUA
rnacentral:sRNA from 1 species